UGGCGGCUGUGGUGACAGGUGUUGGUGGUGAUGGCGGCGGUGAUGGUGGUGGUGACGGCGGUGGUGAUGACGGCAGUGGUGACAGUGAUGGUGAUGAUGACCGUUGUGGUGGUGGUGGUGGUGGUGGUGUAUAAUGGGUUGAGUUGACAGCCCCUGACCUGUCAAGCCACCAAACUGUCACUUAACUGUCAUUCUCUUCCUGUCAAAAUGUCGGGCACCUGUCAAAUGUCAGGUGUUAGGUCAGGUCACGUUGGUCAGGUCACAGUCCACCUGGGUUUCUGUGGUGUGGAAUGACGCUAGUAAACUCCACCUUCAUUGACUAGCAAUAGUGAUAGGUUAGAUUAUUUCUAUUUCUAUACUAUUUCUAAUUCUAUUUCUAUUCUAUUGUAUUUUAUUUCUAUUGUUAGUAUUUUUGUUACCAUUAGGGUAUUAUUGAAGAAAGGGUAGCCUAAGAAUUUUGACAUUAAUUUUGUCCUAAACUAUUUGGGUGUUAUUCCGGAAAUCAGAUUUGGUUAGGUUAGAUUAAUUGUUUGCAUAUUAGGUUAAAUUGGGUUAGGUUGCCUUGGUAAAGAUGUGGCAGGCUUUGUAAUUCUCUGUUGGUGGUUGUCGCUGAGAGUUCGUGGGUGUAUUUCUUGAGUUUUACCUGUAAUUAGAAGGGGGCUUCGUGGUGCAGUGGUUAGCACACUUGGCUCACAAUCGAGAGAGCUCGGGUUCAAUUCCCAGGCGGAGUGGGAAAAUUUGGGCGGCUUUUCCGAUAACCUACACCCCUGUCCACCCAGCAGUGUACCAGGUGGACAGCAAACAUUGUGGAAGCAGUCCUCUGAGUCAUGGGGAGGACAACACCACAACAAACUGGAUGAUGCAAGUGAAGGCCACGAGAGAGAAGGGGGAGAGAGGACCAGGGAGUGAUCCAAUGUCUUGCUGCCCCACUCACUGAGACAAGCCGCUGGACCCACCCAUCGCCAAGUGUGCCAGGAGGUAAGAAGAAGCAUGGGAGUGACUCUACACCAUGGAACUUUGACAGACCUCCUCCCCCUGCCUUCAAGUCUGGCCAAAGUGUGCGGUGUCCCACAGGCAGGCAGACCGAGACGCCAGCCAUUCAAUUCUGCCGAGGGAAGAAGUUGUGUUAGUCAACUCUGAUGACUUGUACUUUUCUCUGCAAGGGACUGUUCUGUAAGCCAGUCACAGAAGAUGUGAACUGUAUCUGUACUAUGAAGUCU